rnacentral:rRNA from 1 species
UACGAAGGGGGCUAGCGUUGCUCGGAAUCACUGGGCGUAAAGCGCACGUAGGCGGAUUUUUAAGUCAGGGGUGAAAUCCUGGAGCUCAACUCCAGAACUGCCUUUGAUACUGGGAAUCUCGAGUCCGGAAGAGGUGAGUGGAACUGCGAGUGUAGAGGUGAAAUUCGUAGAUAUUCGCAAGAACACCAGUGGCGAAGGCGGCUCACUGGUCCGGUACUGACGCUGAGACGCGAAAGCGUGGGGAGCGAACAGG